AAAAACUCAAUUUGGUUAUAAUUAUUAACAAGUUUUCAGAUUGUUAUAUGUAAAAGAUUAACCAUAUACAUAUAUAAUUUAAUUUUAGUAUCUUCAUAAUAAAUCAUUAGUCUCAUAAGGAAUAAAAUGAAUUGAUAUUUCUACAACUCCAAUCUUUUCAUCGAAUGUUCUAUAUGCAUUGCUUGAUGAAUGAUAUCCAAGGAUAGAAAUAUCUUUAUCAGAUUUGGCAUUAUUUUCAUAAGAACAUAUCAAGCAUA
rnacentral:lncRNA from 1 species